rnacentral:lncRNA from 1 species
CAUGCACGGUCGUAAUUGUCACAACAUUGUCAUUCAAUCGGCAUGUGCACUGCCCACUAUGCACAUGCACGGUUACAUCAAUUACACAAAAUUACUUAACAAUACAUAUCAUACAUUACUAUUUUUUUUAUAUAUACAUGUCAGUAUCAUAUAUAGGUACAUAGAUUCAUCACAAUCAUGUUCCACAUCACAAAAACAUUUCAGUAAAGGCUUGUUCCCAUGCAUAUUUAUAGAAAAACAAUUAAACUAUCUCAAUCAACCAC